rnacentral:rRNA from 1 species
AAGGAACAUCAAUGGCGAAGGCAACUUUCUGGACCAAUACUGACGCUGAGGUACGAAAGCGUGGGUAGCAAACAGGAUUAGAUACCCUGGUAGUCCACGCCGUAAACGAUGAUAACUAGCCGUUGGGGGGAUUUACCCCUUAGUGGCGAAGCUAACGCGUUAAGUUAUCCGCCUGGGGAGUACGGCCGCAAGGUUAAAACUCAAAGGAAUUGACGGGGACCCGCACAAGCGGUGGAGCAUGUGGUUUAAUUCGAUGCAACGCGAAGAACCUUACCUGGUCUUGACAUCCUGAGAACUUUCUAGAAAUAGAUUGGUGCCUUCGGGAACUCAGUGACAGGUGCUGCAUGGCUGUCGUCAGCUCGUGUCGUGAGAUGUUGGGUUAAGUCCCGUAACGAGCGCAACCCCUAUCCUUAUUUGCCAGCACAUCAUGGUGGGAACUAUAAGGAGACUGCCGGUGAUAAACCGGAGGAAGGCGGGGACGACGUCAAGUCAUCAUGGCCCUUACGACCAGGGCUACACACGCGCUACAAUGGCAGUGACAAUGGGUUAAUCCCAAAAAACUGUCUCAGUUCGGAUUGGGGUCUGCAACUCGACCCCAUGAAGUCGGAAUCGCUAGUAAUCGCGUAACAGCAUGACGCGGUGAAUACGUUCCCGGGCCUUGUACACACCGCCCGUCACACCAUGGGAGUUGGUUUUACCCGACGACGCUGCGCUAACCUUCGGGAGGCAAGCGGCCACGGUAAGAUCAGCGACUGGGGUGAAGUCGUAACAAGGUAACCGUA